GUUGUGUCUUGCCUCACUACUCCAGUCCACCCUGGGUAGGUGGUCUCAAUCCCACUCAGUUGUGGGCUCAUCUGGGAUUUUCUUUGAUUAGGGAGGGGGCUUCUUUGCCAAGGUCAAGACCAAGAGCACAUCCAAGAUUUCUCGGAAGUCUUGAGCUCUGGAGGGAGGUUGCUGCCCAGUCUUUGAAAUAAACCUGAAGAGAGUGACUCAGAGAAACAGAAGGCUUGUUAGGGCUCUGACAAUUAAAACGAAACUAGGAAAUUCCAGCCAGCCGACUAAACUAUUUGGGCUGGAGGCUCUUGGUAAGGAAAGGUUCUACUCAUCCUAGGCUAGUCACAUGAGGUGAGACUGACGCAGCUUGUACCAUAAGAUCAGAUGUUUCUACAAUAGGACUUGAAUCCGUCUCUUCUUGACUUCAAGGAUCCACUACAUCCCACAUUGCCUCUCAUCUUACAGUUGUCUAGGUCUGUUCCAGGGUUUGACUUCUUCAGUGACUUCUGCCAUAGAUGUGUCAAGCUUGAAUAGGUCAAACAGACCUGCUGAAUUCAUUUGGAAAACAAACAAACAAAACAAAAAACCUUCAGAGCUGUGAAAAGAACUGUCAGCAGAGGUGUGACAUGGCCCUGCUUGGCUUGUUGGAACUGAAGAGUUAUGAAUAACAUGAGCAAAGACCCCUUCCUGAAGACAUGGUUAUAACCCACAUAUUUAGAAGAAUGAUGUUUAGAAGAAGACAUGGUUAUAACCCAAGUGUUUAGAAGAAUGAUCCCUUUAACACUGUGUAACAUGAAACCAUGAGUCAAAUACUCUUUGUACUAGUGGAAUGAAUGAACAUAUCACUCAGUGGUUUAAUGGGGAAAACAAUUCAUGAAAGGAAUUUAUUCUUAUGUGAUUGUUUGCAACAAUGUGUAUUUUUGUGUCACUAUGGACUUUAACAUGUUAUUAUUUAUUUUAAAUCCUUAAACAUUCAUUGAUUUUUCUGAGAUGCACUGAACUAGGCACUGAGGAUAUGGAGGGGGAAAAAAAGCAAUCUUUGGUCUCAAGUAAUUUACAUUUUACUAGGGAAAGUGGGAUAGAAUGCAAUGUAAAUCAUUAUUAUUUUGGGUCCAGAUUUCAUCAGUUUCAGCAACUUUAAUCAUGGAAAUUCCUUCCAAUGAAGAUUGACAACUUUUUUAAACUUAGAGACUUGUCUACUGUACGGAUGGGUUAAGAGGUAUCACAUGUCCCAGACAUGUCAAAGGCAAGAGGAUGGCUUCUCUGUAUUCCUCAUGUUCCUUCUUCAGUAUAAAAAUAUUCUUUCAUAUUCAUAUAUUGUUAGCCUUU